GCAGCCGAACCAUCUCCGCCGUAGAUUCCCGUCCUCCCACCGCCACGAGGAAGAACGGGGCCAAAACCCGACUCCGACCUCCCGCCGGGUACGACGGGCCUCCGGCGACCGGUCUUCUCUAUUCAACCCGGUCAUCGUCUUACGUGGCACCGAGGCCGAUACCGAGUCCAACACAUUCGAACUCUACUAUAAUGACGCCGCGGGGUCGGGGCUCCGACCACUUCCGCCCACCAUGUCCGAGCUUUUAAUGGGUUCGGGCUUCG
rnacentral:lncRNA from 1 species